rnacentral:rRNA from 1 species
AGGACGAACGCUGGCGGCGUGCUUAACACAUGCAAGUCGAGCGGAAAGGCCCUUCGGGGUACUCGAGCGGCGAACGGGUGAGUAAUACGUGAGCAACCUGCCCUUAGCUCUGGGAUAGCUCCGGGAAACCGGAAUUAAUACCGGAUAUGACCUAGGCCGACAUCGGCCGUGGUGGAAAGUUUUUCGGCUAGGGAUGGACUCGCGGCCUAUCAGCUAGUUGGUGGGGUAAUGGCCUACCAAGGCGACGACGGGUAGCCGGCCUGAGAGGGCGACCGGCCACACUGGGACUGAGACACGGCCCAGACUCCUACGGGAGGCAGCAGUGGGGAAUCUUGCGCAAUGGGCGAAAGCCUGACGCAGCGACGCCGCGUGGGGGAUGAAGGCCUUCGGGUUGUAAACCCCUUUCAGCAGGGACGAAGCGAAAGUGACGGUACCUGCAGAAGAAGCGCCGGCUAACUACGUGCCAGCAGCCGC